rnacentral:rRNA from 1 species
AGUGAACGCUGGCGGUAGGCCUAACCCAUGCAAGUCGAACGGCAGCACAGGAGAGCUUGCUCUCUGGGUGGCGAGUGGCGGACGGGUGAGGAAUACAUCGGAAUCUACUUUUUCGUGGGGGAUAACGUAGGGAAACUUACGCUAAUACCGCAUACGACCUACGGCUGAAAGCAGGGGAUCUUCGGACCUUGCGCGAUUGAAUGAGCCGAUGUCGGAUUAGCUAGUUGGCGGGGUAAAGGCCCACCAAGGCGACGAUCCGUAGCUGGUCUGAGAGGAUGAUCAGCCACACUCGAACUGAGACACGGUCCAGACUCAUACGGGGGGCAGCGGUGGGGAAUAUUGGACAAUGGGCGCAAGCCUGAUCCAGCCAUACCGCGUGGGUGAAGAAGGCCUUCGGGUUGUAAAGCCCUUUUGUUGGGAAAGAAAUCCAGCUGGUUAAUACCCGGUUGGGAUGACGGUACCCAAAGAAUAAGCACCGGCUAACUUCGUGCCAGCAGCCGCGGUAA